rnacentral:rRNA from 1 species
UCUGGUUGAUCCUGCCAGAGGUUACUGCUAUCGAGGUUCGACUAAGCCAUGCGAGUCGAAUGUAGCAAUACAUGGCGAACUGCUCAGUAACACGUGGACAACCUGCCCUUAGGACGGGGAUAAACCCGGGAAACUGGGUAUAAUACCCGAUAGGUCUCGAUUGCUGGAAUGCAUCGAGAUUUAAAGCUCCGGCGCCUAAGGAUGGGUCUGCGGCCUAUCAGGUAGUAGUGGGUGUAGCGUACCUACUAGCCUACGACGGGUACGGGUUGUGAGAGCAAGAGCCCGGAGAUGGAUUCUGAGACACGAAUCCAGGCCCUACGGGGUGCAGCAGGCGCGAAAACUUUACAAUGCUGGCAACAGCGAUAAGGGAACCUCGAGUGCCAGGUUACAAAUCUGGCUGUCGAGAUGCCUAAAAAGCAUUUCAUAGCAAGGGCCGGGCAAGACCGGUGCCAGCCGCCGCGGUAACACCGGCGGCUCGAGUGGUAACCGUUAUUAUUGGGUCUAAAGGGUCUGUAGCCGGCCGGAUAAGUCUCUUGAGAAAUCUGGCAGCUUAACUGUCAGGCUUUCAGGAGAUACUGUCUGGCUCGAGGCCGGGAGAGGUGAGAGGUACUUCAGGGGUAGGGGUGAAAUCUUGUAAUCCUUGAAGGACCACCAGUGGCGAAGGCGUCUCACCAGAACGGACCUGACGGCAAGGGACGAAAGCUAGGGGCACGAACCGGAUUAGAUACCCGGGUAGUCCUAGCCGUAAACGAUACUCGCUAGGUGUCGGCCACGGUGCGACCGUUGUCGGUGCCGUAGGGAAGCCGUGAAGCGAGCCACCUGGGAAGUACGGCCGCAAGGGCUGAAACUUAAAGGGAAUUGGCGGGGGAGCACCACAACGGGGUGGAGCUUUGCGGGUUUAAUUGGAUUCAACGCCGGAA